UUGGGAAUGGUCGGGAUAGCU
rnacentral:tRNA from 3 species